rnacentral:rRNA from 1 species
UGGUGGAGCGAUUUGUCUGGUUAAUUCCGAUAACGAACGAGACUCUAAUCUACUAAAUAGAUGGUUGAUCCAUUGUGAACCAGACUUCUUAGAGAGACAAGCAGCAAUUAGCUGCAUGAGAAAGAGCAAUAACA